CCUACGGGAGGCUGCAGUGAGGAAUAUUGGUCAAUGGGCGCGAGCCUGAACCAGCCACGUCGCGUGAAGGAUGACUGCCCUACGGGUUGUAAACUUCUUUUAUAAAGAACUAAAGUGAGGCACGUUUGCCUUUUUGUAUGUACUUUAUGAAUAAGGCUCGGCUAACUCCGUGCCAGCAGCCGCGGUAAUACAGCGGAUCCGAGCGUUCUCCGGAUUUAUUGGGUUUAAAGGGAGCGGAGAUGGGUUGUUAAGUCAGUUGUGAAAGGUUGCGGCUCAACCGUAAAAUUGCAAUUGAUACUGGCAGUCUUGAGUACAGGUGAGGUAGGCGGAAUUCGUGGUGUAGCGGUGAAAUGCUUAGAUAUCACGCAGAACUCCGAUUGCGAAGGCAGCUGACUAAACCGCCACUGACACUGAUGCUCGAAAGCGUGGGUAUCAAACAGGAUUAGAUACCCGAGUAGUC
rnacentral:rRNA from 1 species